UUGUCUCCUAGUAGGAUCAAGGUUUCCAUCUUGGCCCAUUAGCAGUUACUCUUAGCAGCUAAAUGAUGAAAAGUGGAAAUUGUCCAACUUAAAAGAGAAAUCAAAGCCACUGCACUUACAAACCUACACCAUUAAUUUUACAACCAUUACAGGCAAAUGUCAUGUCUAUCUCAGGGGUGCUUCCUGGGAGUCUGGCGACAGUUUAACUGAUGCAGCUCCACCAUGUGCAAAUGAAGACUGCCUCACAGCUCAAAGGCUACCCGACUGCUCCAGGAACCACUUUGUGGCCAGAGACAAGCAAGACGACAACCUGGAAAUCCUGUGAUUCUCUGAGGUGAGCAGGCAAUGAAAUCAGAGACGGAAUUAAGGCUGCACAUCAACUAACCUUGCUGAUUAGAGCAGAGUGGCCCUACAAAAGUCCUUAUUAGCAAAAAGAUGAGGAGAAAGAACCUGAGAGGUCAGCCUGAUCAAGCUGUCUUUGAAGAUGAAGGAAGAGGUGGAGGCUCAAAGAAAUUCAUGAAAACUGUAAGAGGCAAGGAAGUGGCUCCCUCCUGCCUCAACUCAAAGGAAAGCAGCCUCACCCACAGUCCAUUAACCUAGGAGGCUUACUUGGACUUUUGACUUCCUGAUAUUGUAACACAAUGUUUUAAACUGCUAACUUUGUGGUGCUUUGUCACAGCACCCAUAAGAAACUGAUACAUCUAAAUCCCUCCAUUGCCAACACCAACCUUAGCUUCUGGCUCAGCACAGGAGAAAAUGGGUAACCAAACGGAUUCCCAGCUGGACCUGAAUCCAUCAGACUCCUUCUACAAGGGAGCUUUCUUGCACCCAUGCUGCUUUAUGGGUGAUUUCAGACUCAGCUCUAGUAGCUGAGAACUUUGCUGGGGCAGAGGGGUGGGACAGAAGGAGGUCUGCUGCUCAACAGAGCACCACAACCAGGCACAGGGCGUUAACCUAACAGGCCAAACAUGAAACAGAGUGCCACCGGCAA